GGGAAAAUCUCAAUAAGAGUAUAUGGUGGAUGCCUUGACAUAAGAAGACGAUGAAGGACGUAGCAGCCUGCGAUAAGCCGCGGUGAGGUGGCAAGCAACCUUUGACCCGCGGAUCUCCGAAUGGGGAAACCCUCUCCAUUGAAGAUGGAGAAAGCUCAGCCUUUAAGGCGAGCUGGAAGACCCGGUGAACUGAAACAUCUUAGUAGCCGGAGGAAAAUAAAAUAACAAUCAUUCCCUGAGUAGUGGCGAGCGAAAGGGGAGAAGUCUAAACCCAAAUAACUGAGAAGUGAGCUUGGUUCGCCAAGUUUGCUUCAGAAGGCUCUGGAGCCAUAUGUUUUUUCGGUGUUGCAAGAUAUUAGCGCUUGUUGCCAGAUCAACAGGGCGAAGUAAAAAAAGACAAUUCUUAGUUGAACGAGCUGGAAAGCUCGGCCAGAGACGGUGAUAGCCCGGUAAGCGAAAAGAAUUGACUCUUCGUGGCUUUUGUCUUAAGUAGGACGGGACUCGUGAAAUCCCGUUUGAAGCCAGGUCGACUAUGACCUAAGACUAAAUACUUCUUAUGAUCGAUAGUGAACAAGUACCGUGAGGGAAAGGUGAAAAGCAUCCCGUUUAGGGAGGUGAAAUAGUAUCUGAAACCAUAUACUUACAAAGAGUCGGAGCCCCGCAAGGGGUGACGGCGUGCCUAUUGAAGAAUGAGCCAACGAGUUUGUUCUAUGUGGCUGGCAUAAUCUCCUUUGGAGAGCAUGCAGAGUGAAAGCGAGGGUUAAUAGCCCGUUUGUGCUUCGCUUUCGUCCAACGUUUAACCGGGUCGCAAGAUUCGGAUAUUCGCUAGCGGGACGGAAGCGUAGCAUUCGUCGCAUGGACAAGACCCGAAGCCGGGUGAUCUAACCAUGAGCAGGUUGAAGUUCGUCGAAAGACGGAUGGAGGACCGAACCCAUUAGCCGUGCAACACUAUGGGAUGACUUGUGGUUAGCGCAGAAAUUGUAAUCGAACUCGGCAAUAGCUGGUUCUCCUCGAAAUAGCUUUUGGGCUAGCCUCGGAUGUUGACCUCAGGGGGUAGAGCACUGGAUGAGGGCGGGUCGCAAGAUACCGUCUUCAAUCAAACUCCGAAUACCUGGGGGUAGAGUCCGGGAGUCAGACUAUGGGCGCUAAGGUUCAUCAGUCGAAAGGGAAACAGCCCUAAUCACAAUCUAAGGUCCCCUACGACAGUUAGGAGGUUGGCUUAGAAGCAGCCAUCCUUUAAAGAUAGCGUAAUAGCUCACUAAUCAAGUUGUUUCGCGCCGAAAAUUUAUCGGGGCUAAGCAUAGUACCGAAGGUGUGAACUGCCUAGAUUUGUGUCGUUUAUUUCCGGCAAAACAUAAAUUUUGCUAGAGGUUCGUGGAGUGUAGUGCCCACGAAGAUGAGAAAUAGAAGACAGAAAUCUAGGCAGUGGUAGAGGAGCAUUCCCUUCAGCGUCGAAGCCGUGUCGUGAGUUGGCAUGAGUAGCAAAAAGGCGGGUAAAAACCCCGCCCAUCGAAAACCUAAGGUUUCCUGGGCAACGAAAAUCGACCCAGGGUUAGUCGAUCCUAAGGUCCAGCCCGUGUAGUGCGGGCCCUGACCGAUGGAUGAGCCGGUUAAUAUUCCGGCACUACUGUUAUUUUCCGAUGGGGAGACGCAGUUCUAAAGUUUGAGCGCGCUAUGGUAUGUGCGUUUGCGGUCUCAAGAAACGGCCUAGGUAAAUCCGGGCCAUAGUUUCAAGGGAUUGAGAAGAGAUGAAGUCGCAAGGCGGAAUCAAUUCAAGUGGCAGAACUGACUAGAAAAACCUCUAGGGCUAAGGUAACAGUAAUCGUACCGUAAACCGACACAGGUAGGUGAGGCGAGAAGCCUCAGAUGUACGAGAGAAACUUCGUUAAGGAACUCGGCAAAACAGCGGCCGUAAUUUAGAGAUAAGGCCUGCCCUGCGCAAGCAGGGCCGCAGCUAAAGAGCCCAAGGGACUGUUUAUCAAAAACAUAGCUCUCUGCUAACUCGCAAGAGGAUGUAUAGAGGGUGAUGCCUGGCCAGUGUCCGAACGUUAAGAGGAGGGGUUAGCCGUAAGGCGAAGCCUCGAAUUGAAGCGCGGAUGAACGCCGGCGAUAACUAUAAUCGUCCUAAGGUUUUGCAAUUUAUUACAUUAGAUUGCAAAAGGACUGGGACGAUUAUAUGGUGAUAAACAUAAAAAUACGUUGCCUGGCUAUAGCGAAAGUUAUAGUUGUCAUUAAAUAUUCAGUAAAAUGCGUGAAAAUCCUCAAAAGAUUUAAGGUACUCGGGGUUGUCGACCUCAGUAAAAAUCCUUAGAUACACGGGGCAAACGCGCAGGAUUAAAAAUCCUCAGAGACUUAAAAACUGAGACUCUAAAAUAUGAAGAUAAAUCCACAUUGGGUAAGCGGAUUUGUCGAUGGUGAAGGAACGUUUUAUGUUGGAAUAAAUAAAAACGAUACGAUGAAAAUAAAUUUUCAAGUAUUGCCGGAAUUUCGGAUAGUCCAGCAUAAACGCGAUAUACAAUUAUUGUAUGCUUUAAAGAAAUAUUUCGGCGCUGGAGUCGUGAGAAUAAAUCACGAUACUCGGUAUGAGCUGAGAAUAAGAUCUUUAGAACAUAUGAAUAAGUUCGUUAUUCCUCAUUUUGACAAAUAUCCGUUAUUGACUCAAAAGAAAUUUGAUUUCAUUAAAUUUAAGGAGAUUAUUGCAUUGAUGAACCAAAAUAAACAUUUAUCGGCUGAAGGCAUUAAGGAUAUUAUUGCCAUCGCUUCUAAAAUGAACAGACAGGAUAAAAUAUCCGCUCUAAAAGUUUUAGAAGAAUUAAAUUCAUAUCAUGAGUAAGAUAAAGUCCAUUCUUAAUAGAAAUAUUAAGCAAGUGAAGAGCGAAAUUCCUUGUCGGGUAAGUUCCGACCUGCACGAAUGGCUUAACCACUUGGGCACUGUCUCAACGAAGUACUCGGUGAAAUUGCAAUACGAGUAAAGAUGCUCGUUAACCACAGUUGGACGAAAAGACCCCGUGAAGCUUUACUACAACUUGAUAUUGAAUUAGAGGUAUGCUUGUUCAGCAUAGGUGGGAGCCUUCGGGCACCAGUGAGAUACCACCCUUGCCUAUUUUUAAUUCUCACCCCGCGAUAGCGGGGGACAGUGUCUGGUGGGUAGUUUGUCUGGGGCGGAUGCCUCCCAAAAAGUAACGGAGGCGUUUACCAAGGUCGGCUAUCCCGGAAUGGAAACCCGGGAGAUAGUGUAAAGGCAAAAGCCGGCUUUACUGCGAGACCUACAAGUCAAGCAGUCGCGAAAGCGGAACUUAGUGAUCCGACCAUUCAAUGUAGGAUGGUGGAAGCUCAUCGGAUAAAAGCUACUCCGGGGAUAACAGGCUAGUCAGGUCCAAGAGUCCAUAUCGACGACCUGGUUCGGCACCUUAACAUAUCGGGGUGCCAUCUCGAGUAAUCGAGUGAAUAAAAUUGGCUUAUAACGGUGGACUCCAUAAUUUAUUUGGCCUAUAAUAAUUAAUUAUGGACAACGCCGCGGGAAGUCUAACUCAAACGCAAAAAUCAAUAAUCGUCGGCUCAAUUUUGGGCGACGGUUACUUGCGCGUUAUCAAAGGUAGAAGAAAUGCUUUUUUAGAGAUUAAUCACUCCAUAAAACAGAAAAAAUAUGUUGAUUGGAAGUAUGAUCAAUUGAAAAGUAUUGUGAAGAGUCCGCCAAAAUCAAGAAAAGGCAAUGGAGGCAGGGUCGCGUAUCGGUUUUAUACCGAACAACACCCCGAGUUAACGGAAUUAUUUAAGAAUUUUUAUCAAAAUGGUAAAAAAAUAAUUCCUGGCAAUCUUCGGCUUAAUUCUAUGAUUUUAGCAAUUUGGUUUAUGGACGAUGGCAGCAAAUGUCGUUCGUCGGACAUUUACCUUAAUACUCAGCAAUUUGAUAACGGGUCGCAGCGGAAAAUGAUUUCUUCUUUAAAGAAAAUUGGCUUAUCGGCCGGUUUAAAUAAAGACAAAUCUUAUUAUCGAAUAAGAUUUAUCAAGUCUAGUUUGCCAAAACUCAGGAAUUUGAUAGAGAAAUAUAUUAUUCCGUCAAUGCGCUAUAAAAUUGAGUUAUGACCCUGUAGAGACUUGUUUUCUUCCUUGGCCGGAAGAAACUUAUGGCUUUGAGUCAUAAUACGCCAACUCCCAUUAGAUUUUAGUGGGAUGAAGACAUAGUCCGUACCAUUAGUAAUAAUGGAAUCAUACACGAUGUCGGCUCGUCGCAUCCUGGGGGUGGAGAAGCUCCCAAGGGUUGGGCUGUUCGUCGUAAGACAGGUCGGUCUCCUAUCCACUGUGGUCGUGGAAACUUGAAGAGGCCCUUCCUUAGUACGAGAGGACCGGGAAGGACGAAGCUCUAGUGUGCCGGCUGUCCCACCAGGGGCAUUGCCGGGUAGCUACCUUCGGUUUAGAUAAGCGCUGAAAGCAUCUAAGCGCGAAGCUGUCUCUAAGAUUAGGUUUCAUAGACUGGUUAGAGAUUAUAACCUUGAUAGGCCGUACGUGUAAGUCCCGCAAGGGAUUGAGCGGAGCGGUACUAAUAAGUCGUUUGAUUUUCCCAC
rnacentral:rRNA from 1 species